rnacentral:rRNA from 1 species
AACCGCAUGGUUCAAUAGUGAAAGACGGUUUUGCUGUCACUUAUAGAUGGAUCCGCGCCGCAUUAGCUAGUUGGUAAGGUAACGGCUUACCAAGGCAACGAUGCGUAGCCGACCUGAGAGGGUGAUCGGCCACACUGGAACUGAGACACGGUCCAGACUCCUACGGGAGGCAGCAGUAGGGAAUCUUCCGCAAUGGGCGAAAGCCUGACGGAGCAACGCCGCGUGAGUGAUGAAGGUCUUCGGAUCGUAAAACUCUGUUAUUAGGGAAGAACAAAUGUGUAAGUAACUAUGCACGUCUUGACGGUACCUAAUCAGAAAGCCACGGCUAACUACGUGCCAGCAGCCGCGGUAAUACGUAGGUGGCAAGCGUUAUCCGGAAUUAUUGGGCGUAAAGCGCGCGUAGGCGGUUUUUUAAGUCUGAUGUGAAAGCCCACGGCUCAACCGUGGAGGGUCAUUGGAAACUGGAAAACUUGAGUGCAGAAGAGGAAAGUGGAAUUCCAUGUGUAGCGGUGAAAUGCGCAGAGAUAUGGAGGAACACCAGUGGCGAAGGCGACUUUCUGGUCUGUAACUGACGCUGAUGUGCGA